rfam:Hordeum vulgare subsp. vulgare, WGS project CAJW01000000 data, contig: morex_contig_1521928
CCGACCCGUCUUGAAACACGGACCAAGGAGUCUGACAUGCGUGCGAGUCGACGGGUUUUGAAACCUGGGAUGCGCAAGGAAGCUGACGAGCGGGAGGCCCUCACGGGCCGCACCGCUGGCCGACCCUGAUCUUCUGUGAAGGGUUCUAGGUGGAGCACGCCUGUCGGGACCCGAAAGAUGGUGAACUAUGCCUGAGCGGGGCGAAGCCAGAGGAAACUCUGGUGGAGGCUCGAAGCGAUACUGACGUGCAAAUCGUUCGUCUGACUUGGGUAUAGGGG